CGGUUUUCGUCCAGGCCAUGGAACACUGGACCAGCUCUACACCCUCUACCGAGUGCGUGAGGUUUCGCGGGAGUUUGCCCAACCACAGUUUUGUGGACCCGGCUUUGGGAGGCAACUCCCUGCUGUUAAUGCAGUGAGAGAGGAAUGGAGGAGCAGCCAGACGAGCAAAGACAGCCGCCACCUCACACUGGGUGAUGACUGAACUAACUCCAUCUUGCACACUAAUAACACAGCAUCAGUGGCUCUUGGUGCUGAGCUUGCAGACCAGUGACAUUGCUAACUCUAUUUUGUGUUCAAAAUCAUGCAUUCCUUAUCAAAGUAUGAAAGUGUCAUAUUUCUUCACCUUUUGCUGAGCUUUGCUCAGUCUGCACUUCAGAUCUUUUUUAAUAUAAGCUGUUUGAGAGUAGUGCAGCAGAAACAGAUCUGUUUGAAACGUUCACACAUUAUAGAACAUAUAUUGGUUUGAUUUAUCUGCUAUUUAUAUUUACUUCAAGGAAAGUGCAUGUGAUCUUGCCCCCCCCCAGUAAAUGUGUAAAUGCUUUAAAAUGAAAUAAUCUUUAUUUCAGUAGCACAAUUUCACACUGACAUUUUUAUAAAAUUCCAAUUUAUCAUUUAAACAGAUUUGGGAAAUAUUCGACAUUAUGAAAUAACUGUUUUUCAACAACAUAACAGUUAUUGGAAACCUUAACAAUAGCUAUGUAACAAAUGUAACUGACACUUUUUUAAAAUGUAUACUUUAUUUUUUUAUUUAUCAGAAUUUCUAGUAACUUUAAUUUGUAAUCCACAACUUCCUGUUUACGUUGGGUGUACAACAUGACAUGAGACAGAGACCAAUUUCUUCUAGCCAAUGGCUCGAUAAGGACCAAAGUGUAAUGAUUGGUAAGAUAUCUGCAUCCAGUUAUAAAUCUUAGAGCUCCGUGAUAAGAUGCAUCUUAAAAAUGAGGAGAACUGUGUGAGGGUUUCAUAUAUAAAAUGUCACCAUAGUCUGAAAGAGUCAAAAAGACAGUAGCAACAAGACAUUUCCUGACAUCAAAAGAAAAACAUGAUUUGUUUCUUAAAAAGUAGCCUAAUUUUAGCCUCAGCUUCUUUAAAAGUUUAUCAAUGUGAGCGAAGAGGAGCAUAUUAGGGUCUCCAUACCACCCAUUGGAUGCUAUCUACAGUGGGUCUCAAAAAUGUACACACCCCUGGCAAAAUACCAGGUUUUUGCGAAAAACAAAUCUGUUGGAAAAAAUAAAAUAAACUGAAUAAAUAGAUAGAUUGACUUUAAAAUUUGUGUCCACCUUUCCCAAUACAAAUAAUUAUUCAGAGCUCAGAAAAAAAACAUAUUAUAUACUAUUCUUUUAUAUUCCAGUGUUAUGGUUCUUGAAGAAAAAUUAACAUUGGCUACAAUCUGUAUCGGCAUAUCAAACAUUUACCAAAAAUUGGGAAAAGA